UACGUAGGUGGCAAGCGUUGUCCGGAUUUACUGGGCGUAAAGAGCGCGCAGGCGGUCGUUCAAGUCGCGUGUGAAAGCCCCCGGCUCAACUGGGGAGGGUCACGCGAUACUGAUCGACUCGAAGGCAGGAGAGGGUAGUGGAAUUCCCGGUGUAGUGGUGAAAUGCGUAGAUAUCGGGAGGAACACCAGUGGCGAAGGCGACUACCUGCCUGUUCUUGACGCUGAGGCGCGAAAGCUAGGGGAGCAAACGGG
rnacentral:rRNA from 1 species